GCCCCCAUCGUCUAGAGGCCUAGGACACCGGCUUUUCAAGCCGGCGACAGGGGUUCGAGUCCCCUUGGGGGCG
rnacentral:tRNA from 1 species